GUGGAGGAGGUUGUACCGGUAGAAGAAGCUGUUGAGGAGCUUGAACCGGUAGAAGAAGCUGUUGAGGAACCUGAACAAGAGGAGGAACCUGAAACAACAGAACCAGUGGAAGAAGUAGAAACACCUGAAGAGACCGUUGAGGAGUCAGUCUCUGCAGAAGAAACUGUAACAGAAGAGGAAGUUAUAAUAGAAGAAACAGAUGAGCAAGCUGAGGAAGAUGAGGAAGUACAAGACUCCACAUCGGAGGAAACAGAGCUUGAGGCAGAGAAUAUAGAAGAAGAGGAGGAUGCAGCUGCUGAAGAAGAGCAGCCUGAGGAUGACGAAGCAGAGGAAAUUAACCAAACAGAAGAACAAAUUGAAGUAGAGCCCACAG